rnacentral:RNase_P_RNA from 1 species
GGAGUGGGUCAGGCGAUCGCGCGCGCACACGAUGCGCGUGAGGAAAGUCCGGACUCCACAGGGCAAGGUGCCUGCUAACGGCAGGGCGCGGUGACGCGACGGAAAGUGCCACAGAAAAGAAAACUCCCCCGCACGCGCGGGAGAAAAGCUGAAACGGUGCGGUAAGAGCGCACCAGCGUCACGGCGACGUGACGGCUUGGCAAACCCCACCUGGAGCAAGGGCGAAUAGGAGCGGUUAAGGCCUGCCCGGCCGUCGCUCGGGUCAGCCCGCGUGAGGCCGUCGGCGACGGCGGUCCCAGAUAGAUGAUCGUCCUCGACAGAAUCCGGCUUACCGGCCCACUCCCCAA